GUCGUGAGAUGUUGGGUUAAGUCCCGCAACGAGCGCAACCCUUGUCCCUAGUUGCUACGCAAGGGCACUCUAGGGAGACUGCCGGUGACAAACCGGAGGAAGGUGGGGAUGACGUCAAGUCCUCAUGGCCCUUAUGGGUAGGGCUUCACACGUCAUACAAUGGCCGGUACAGAGGGUUGCCAACCCGCGAGGGGGAGCCAAUCCCAGAAAGCCGGUCGUAGUCCGGAUUGCAGUCUGCAACUCGACUGCAUGAAGUCGGAAUCGCUAGUAAUCGCGGAUCAGCAUGUCGCGGUGAAUACGUUCCCGGGUCUUGUACACACCGCCCGUCACACCAUGGGAGCGGGAUGUACCAGAAGUAGGUAGGCUAACCGCAAGGGGGCCGCUUACCACGGUGCGUUUCGUGACUGGGGUGAAGUCGUAACAAGGUAGCCGUAUCGGAAGGUGCGGCUGGAUCACCUCCUUUCUCGGAAACAGGAGUCAGAGGACAGGAGACAGAGGACAGCAAUGCCCAAUGUCAAACGACUCUGCCACUCCCAUUCCCACCUGCGAGUACCCACAACCUAUCGGUUGUCAUCAGAAAACAGAAGUCAGAGGACAGAGGACAGCGAAGGCAAAGUGUCGCGAUUUGCGCUCUUUCUGACUUCUGUCCUCUGAAUUCUGACUCCUGAAACGGGCCUGUAGCUCAGUUGGUUAGAGCACCGUCUUGAUAAGGCGGGGGUCGAUGGUUCGAAUCCAUCCAGACCCACCACCGGAUCCACCGGGGCUGUAGCUCAAUUGGGAGAGCGCCUGCUUUGCAAGCAGGAGGUCGUCGGUUCGAUCCCGUCCAGCUCCACCAUUCAGAAGUCAGGAAUCAGAAGACAGAGGACAGAACGAUGGGGCGGUUGGGACGUUCUGAAUUCUGUCCUGUGACUCCUGAAUUCUGAACACUAUCGGUUGUGGUUGCACGAGCGUUCAACUCUCGUUGUUCGACGAGUGGCGAGAGUUGAGAGCUGCAGUGUUCUUUAACAAUUCGGAAGGUAAGGGUUCACGAGACUUGGUGAGAGUUUCGUGAGCAAUAGGGUUGAGUUGUAUCUUCAAAAAGCCGGUCACCUUUUAAAAAGGGGGGUGAGCGGUGGCGCGAACACAUCGUAACGGUGGAGUCCGAUGAGGGCUUACAGUUAUGGGGUCAAGCGACUAAGUGCAUGUGGUGGAUGCCUAGGCGAUUACAGGCGAUGAAGGACGUGGCAGCCUGCGAAAAGCUGCGGGGAGCUGGCAAACAAGCAUUGAUCCGCAGAUGU
rnacentral:sRNA from 1 species